rnacentral:rRNA from 1 species
GGGCAACCCUGAUCCAGCAAUGCCGCGUGAGUGAAGAAGGCCUUCGGGUUGUAAAGCUCUUUUGUCAGGGAAGAAACAGCAGCUCUAACACAGAACUGCGAAUGACGGUACC